GAUGAACGCUGGCGGCGUGCCUAAUACAUGCAAGUCGAGCGAACAGAUGAGGAGCUUGCUCCUCUGACGUUAGCGGCGGACGGGUGAGUAACACGUGGAUAACCUACCUAUAAGACUGGGAUAACUUCGGGAAACCGGAGCUAAUACCGGAUAAUAUAUUGAACCGCAUGGUUCAAUAGUGAAAGACGGUUUUGCUGUCACUUAUAGAUGGAUCCGCGCCGCAUUAUCUAGUUGGUAAGGUAACGGCUUACCAAGGCAACGAUGCGUAGCCGACCUGAGAGGGUGAUCGGCCACACUGGAACUGAGACACGGUCCAGACUCCUACGGGAGGCGGCAGUAGGGAAUCUUCCGCAAUGGGCGAAAGCCUGACGGAGCAACGCCGCGUGAGUGAUGAAGGUCUUCGGAUCGUAAAACUCUGUUAUUAGGGAAGAACAAAUGUGUAAGUAACUAUGCACGUCUUGACGGUACCUAAUCAGAAAGCCACGGCUAACUACGUG
rnacentral:rRNA from 1 species